GUGUUUGCUUCGGCAGCACAUAUACUAAAAUUGGAACGAUACAGAGAAGAUUAGCAUGGCCCCUGCGCAAAGAUGACAUACAAAUUCGUAAAGAUUUUAUUUAUUCAU
ensembl:snRNA U6 U6 spliceosomal RNA